AUUGAACGCUGGCGGCAGGCCUAACACAUGCAAGUCGAGCGAGCGGCGGACGGGUGAGUAAUGUAUGGGGACUGCCCGAUAGAGGGGGAUAACUACUGGAAACGGUGGCUAAUACCGCAUACUAUCGGAUAACCCAUAUGGGAUUUGCUAGUAGGUGGGGUAAAGGCUCACCUAGGCGACGAUCUCUAGCUGGCCUGAGAGGAUGAUCGGCCACACUGGGAUUGAGACACGGCCAAGACUCCUACGGAGGCAGCAUUGGGGAAGAUUGCACAAUGGGCGCAAGCCGGAUGCAGCCAGGCCGCGUGUAUGAAGAAGUCCUUAGGUUUGUAAAGUACUUUCAGCGGGGAGGCGUUACCCGCAGAAGAAGGACCGGCUAACUCCGUGCCAGCAGCCGCGGUAAUUC
rnacentral:rRNA from 1 species